rnacentral:tRNA from 1 species
GCCAAAGUGGUGAAAUUGGUAUACACGCUAGCUUCAGGAGCUAGUUCCCUUAAAGGGAGUGUGGGUUCGAGUCCCACCUUUGGCACCA